rnacentral:rRNA from 1 species
GACGAACGCUGGCGGCGUGCUUAACACAUGCAAGUCGAACGGAAAGGCCCCUUUUUUGUUACUCGCGUGACGAGCGGGUGGGUAACACAUGCGUAACCUACCCUUGCCUUCCGUAUAACUUCAUGAAACUGAGGCUAAUACCGGCUAGGAAUCCUUGCUUCCUGGUGGGGGUUGGAAAGCUUCUGCGGGUUUGGGUGGACUCGCUGGCUAUCUGGUUGUUUGUGGGGUGGUUGCUUACCAAGGCUUUGACGGGUAGGCGGCCUGGGAGGGGGACCGGCCAAACUUGGACUGGGAUACGGCCCAGACUCCUACGGGGGGCAGGAGGGGGGAAUAUUGCACAAAGGGCGGGAGCCUGAUGCAGCAAAGCCGCGGGCGGGAUGACGGGCUUCGGGUUGGAAACCGGUUUCAGCAGGGGAGGAGGUGGUGGUGACGGUACCUGCAGAAGAAGCACCGGCUAACUACGUG